GGAACCCGGCCGACAGAAGAUGGCGGAUGAGCAGCGUGCAGGGUUUUCUCCCUGUGGCUCACUCUCUCUUACUGUGCUGGGCGGUUGCUUCCUCUCCUGCUGCCCUUGGGAGUCAGACUCCAGGUUCUUCAGCCUGUGGCCCCUGGGGCUCUCGGGCCUUGGAGGACUGACUAGGAGCACACGGUGGGCCUCUCUGGUUUGGGGGCCUGGGACGUGGCGGAGCCCUGCAGCUUCUGUGCGGCCUGUUCUGGGCGUCGCGUUGAAACGCCAGCCAGUUCCCCAAGAUGGACGUAGAACUACUCUAGGAAAUUCCUCAAACACUGCCAAGUACUUCAUGGCUGAAAGCCAAAUAUUCAGUCCCCCUGGGAUUACAGGAGUGUUGAAGAAAUGUUGUGACACAUCAGAACACCGCGAAAUACAUGGACACUUUCAAAUCAUGGAAGACUCAAGAGUCCUUGUUUUUGCCCAGUAUUAUAAACUGAGUUACAUAAAGGCAGAGCAAAUGCUAAAGCAAACUGUCCAGAAGGAAGGACAGCAGUAAGUGGAGAGACGUUAUUGCAAACAAGCACCUGGCAACAGCUGUGUUAGUUGCCCACCAGGUAUUUUUGAAAAAAGUACUCUGUGAAAAACAGAAACUGCAAGCAAGACAGAUACCAGGAUUAGGGAUCACGGUGACUUCUACCAUCGCUGGAUACUCCCAAAAGGGUUCUCGAGACAGCAGCUGUGUCUGCCCUGCUUUGGCAUUCUUUCCCAGGCAUGGCGACCAUAACCUACAAACAUAAAAUACAGACAUCUGAUUGUAUAAAUUACUAUGACUUCUAAUAUUAUGUGAGUAUCUUCUCCUUAAUAUUUUCUUCACAAUUCCAUAUCACCCUUACCUUAUUUUGGCACAUGGGGCUCAUUAAAUAAUAGUGUCAUAUUUUAUUCAUUUUGGUACAUAAAAGUGCUAUUUUCUUAAUGAGAUCAUGGACAAAGUGGAAGAUAAAUCUAACUAUAUAACUCAAACUGUAAAACUUUUAGAAGACAUAGGAACUCAUCAGUGCCACUUUGGAUUAAAUGUUUCUUAUGUGAUGUCAAAACUAUUAUCUUUAAAAUAACUGAUAUACAAUAGGAAUUUAUUAAAAUUAAAUCCACUUUGCUUCAAAAUACAUCUUUAAUAAAAUUUAAAAGACAAGAUACAGACUGAGAAAAUAGUCCAGUAUUAUAUCUGAUAAAAGAAUUACAUGAACAAUAUGUAAAAUUUAUUGAUACACAAUAGUAAAAAAAUGAUA
ensembl:lncRNA LINC01446 long intergenic non-protein coding RNA 1446